GCAUAUCAAUAAGCGGAGGAAAAGAAACCAACAGGGAUUGCCUCAGUAACGGCGAGUGAAGCGGCAACAGCUCAAAUUUGAAAUCUGGCCCUUUCAGGGUCCGAGUUGUAAUUUGUAGAGGAUGUUUCGGGUGUGGCUCCGGUCUAAGUUCCUUGGAACAGGACGUCAUAGAGGGUGAGAAUCCCGUAUGUGACUGGUAGCCUAUGCUCAUGUGAAACUCCUUCGACGAGUCGAGUUGUUUGGGAAUGCAGCUCAAAAUGGGUGGUAAAUUUCAUCUAAAGCUAAAUAUUGGCCAGAGACCGAUAGCGCACAAGUAGAGUGAUCGAAAGAUGAAAAGCACUUUGGAAAGAGAGUUAAACAGUACGUGAAAUUGUUGAAAGGGAAGCGCUUGCAACCAGACUUGCAUGUAGCUGAUCAACCGGUGUUCUCACCGGUGCACUCAGUUGCGUUCAGGCCAGCAUCGGUUUCGACGGUUGGAUAAAGGCCUUGGGAAUGUAGCUCCUCUCGGGGAGUGUUAUAGCCCAGGGUGCAAUGCAGCCUGUUGGGACCGAGGACCGCGCUUCGGCUAGGAUGCUGGCGUAAUGGUUGUAAGCGACCCGUCUUGAAACACGGACCAAGGAGUCUAACAUCUAUGCGAGUGUUUGGGUGUCAAACCCAUACGCGUAAUGAAAGUGAACGGAGGUGAGAACCCUUAAGGGUGCAUCAUCGACCGAUCCUGAUGUCUUCGGAUGGAUUUGAGUAAGAGCAUAGCUGUUGGGACCCGAAAGAUGGUGAACUAUGCCUGAAUAGGGUGAAGCCAGAGGAAACUCUGGUGGAGGCUCGCAGCGGUUCUGACGUGCAAAUCGAUCGUCAAAUUUGGGUAUAGGGGCGAAAGACUAAUCGAACCAUCUAGUAGCUGGUUCCUGCCGA
rnacentral:rRNA from 1 species